rnacentral:lncRNA from 12 species
CAAGCCUGUACCCUGGAGCCCCUCGCCCCUGCACCCCACCCACCCCAGCUCACCAGGAACAGCCCACGACACGUGGCCACAUAUUGCUUUAAUGCCCCAGAAACUAGGUGGUUCUUUCCUACUCUUUUCUCAUUGCUGUGUGCAGGCAGAGUCCCUCUCCUCACGUCUACUCCAAAAUUCAGGACUUCCCUUCCGAAUCCAACAGGAGCAGCUGCAUUUGUGGCCUGUGCCUCUCAAAUUCAUCACCCUGUGAAUGCCUGGAAAAAUGCAAAUAAAUGUAAGAUUAUGAUAUUUUUCGUAAAUAAGCAAUGUAGCAACUCAAAUCUGGUUUGGGCUGUCAGCCGAAUCCACCAGAGAGAAAUUGAUGUUGAAAUGUUUGCGUAUGUUCUCAUGGAGCAUUUAUUGUGCAACGCUGGGCUGCAAUAAAGCCUUUAUAUAAAUUAUUCAUUAUGGAAUUCAGAUGAAAUGCCAAAACCCUCCCACCAAGGGGCUGCCUUUUUUUAUUUUAAUUUUUUUUUGUUACCUCCCAGGAGCUGGGGUUGGUUAGCAUCUAACACCACCAGCCAGGCAGACAGUGUAAUUAGUGGGGAGAAAUGGAUUGGUCUGGGACCAGGUUUCUGACCUUAUGCUCACACCUCUUCAAGGAACCUUGGCUUUUCUUAAAGGAUUUUCUCUGCUGGUUGAGCACCUGCUAACAUCCUCUUCCACCCACCAGAGAGCUGUGGUUACUGUCUUUGGCCAGGAAGACUGGGUACUCCCACCAGCACGAUCCUGCAAGGCUCCAGGAGGAAGUCGGAGCAGGUGUAAGGAGAUCCAGCCUCAGAGAUGGUUGUUGCCCCUAAAUUCACAUGUUGAGGGAGAAGCAGGCCGUGCAUUAAGGAAAUUGUUUGUGAAAUGUAUUGGAUUUAUGCUGAAAACAGUUAACAUCUCACAGAGCAGCACUGGGUCCUGAGAACUUCCAGAUCCUUGGUUCUUCCGAAUACCCCAGUGGCGGCUCGGAUCAAAGCAGACACCCGCAAAGGCAGGUGCUGAUGAUGCUGCCUCUCUCCUUUCUUCCUUUCGCUGCUCACCCACCCCUCUGUUCGAUCCAUGUGCAUGCAUGCAUUUUGUUUUUACUGCUUGUACACAUGCUUUGUUAGCAUGUUGUUCAAAAUUUUUUUUCCAAAAAAAAAAAAAAAACAAAUUUUUUUUUCCUUUUGUAAAAAAGACUUAUUUAGUUAUUUAUUCAUGAGAGACACGCAGAGACACAGAGAGACAGGCAGAGACACAGGCAGAGGGAGAAGCAGGCUUCAUGCAGGGAGCCUGAUGUGGGACUCGAUCCCGGGUCUCCAGGAUCACACCCUGGGCCAAAGGCGGCACUAAACUCUGAGCCACUUGGGCUGCCCUGUUAGCAUGUUGUUCAAAAUUUCUAGUUUGCUUUGAAGACUGAGCUGUGGAAAAUUCGAGUCCUUUGGUCUGACAACCUCCAGCUGCCCUUGGCUCUGUCCCCUCUGUCCUUCUGCUAUGUGCUCAUACAGGGACUUCCACCUGGGUGGGUCCUCCUCUCCAUCCGCACUCCUUACCGCUGGCCCUGCCCUGACUUUGGGAGCCCUUCUGGCCAUGUCGCCAUCCUCUUACUAUCCAGCAUCCCCUGCCGGCCCCCAAAUCAGGCCAGAGUCCCAUGUCCAGCCAUGGCCACACUCAACCAUCCCCCACCUGCCUCCUCCAGCCAGGUCACCCAAGCAUGGCCUCCCUCCAUGGAUGCAGGCUUGAUGCGCUUUCCCGUUGCUCUUGCUCUCUGCCGGUGAUGGUCCCUCAAUCAUCAUGCCAAAGAACGCGCUCAGGGAAUGACAACGUGGUUACUAAGAAAACCAUCCAUGGAGCAAAGUUUGUUUUUUGUUUUUGUUUUUGUUUUUGUUUUUGUUUUUUUACCCUCUAAAAAGAGCAGUGUUUGGGCAUCAGGAAGGCCAUGC